AACACCUGUAAACGUACACGACAUUGACAUGUACUCCCUCCGUCCCGCGGAUAGUGUCGGACGGGCCGUUCUCCCGACAAACAGCGCAGUUCCUGUCUUCUUCCUCGCUCUGCUCACCCCGUUCGCACGCUGCAUCCUCGCUCGCACGCCCGCAGAUCUCCGGCGCUGCUCCUCUUCCGCCGUCUAGCGCCGCCAUAUGGCUCGCCUUCGCUGGUCCCCUCGGCCGUCUAACUCCCCCGCGCCGCUCCCUUCCGCCGUCUAGUUACCCCGCGCUACGAAGCUUGGAUUUUUCUGCCCAAGGUUCGAUUUUGCUGUCCAAUACACCGCCACACUCUUGCUUUCCCACGCCACCUUGAUGGAUCUGGGAGCAGCGCUGCUCGAUGUGCUCCCUGACGGCGAGGAGAAGCCCCAGGUCGCAAUCCUCGUUCUUCACCGUCGCCAACGAUGCACGGGAGCGACCUCAACUUCACUAGCAGCAUGGGCCAUCGGCCCCCUUCCCCGCUUGAGGUACUGCUCCUUCUUCAGGGAGUGGAGGAGAGUGCCGGCGAGCAGGCCUGCUAAGUUGUGACACCCGCAUCCGCACCUCGAUCCCGACCAUGAAGUUCCUCCUCAAGAAGGGCGCAAUCCUGGCCAGCCAUCUGGUAUUCUGUAUUUUAGUGGAUGGAUGCCACCCAUACUCAGAGGAUCUCUGGAAAACCUUAAAGAGAGAGGAAUAUUUGGUACUGAACCAACUGAAACUAUGCUGACAUUCCGGUCUGGUGAAGUGAUCAUGUGGUGAACUCACGGUUUUCUUAUGUUCUCAAUUUCUCAUCUGGUGAGCUCACGGUUUUCCCCUUCUGAAAAUAAUACUGCUUUGUUCACUCUCUUGGCCAAGAGUCACUGGCUACUUCAAUGCACUUGCUGUUCCACAUUCUUCACCAUUUCUUUGUCAGAAGUACUGAUUAGUUUUCUUCCUUUUUAUUAGACAAGGUUCAGUGAAAGUACGGGUGGAAUUCAUUGACUGGCUUUAAUAUAAACAAAAUCAUUUGAUCACACAAAGUAAUCCCGAUUGCAAACUACAGCUAAUGAAGCUACAAUGGCUCUGAGGCUGUGGGAUGUGGCUCUGAUACAAUAUCUCUGAAGACAACAGAGAACUACAAAAGGAAACCAGCUCCCGUAAAUUGGCAUUUUACACAUCCACUGUUGUAAUUGGCAUUUUUCUCCUUUUGGAAACCAGCUCCCGUAAAUUGUUGCCAGCAAUUAGUUGCCUCAUUAACCUGUGCAAAGACAAGAUCAAAUUUAAGCACCACCAUCCGUCAGAAAUAACAAGUUAUAUUCUUAACAAGUUUUAUUCUUACUCAUUCGAAAGCACAAUCUCCUCAUCAUAUUGGAGGCUAGACAUGUCUUGUAUCAUGCUCUUAACAAGUUUCUCUUGUUGUCUGCAUUUUCAAACAAAGAAAUCUUAAAAUCCAAAAGGCAUCAUAAUUUUCAGAUGACAGGUUGUAAGCAACAAGUUCAGUAUGUUGGUGCAAUAAAAUCCACUGUCAUCGUAUAAAUCUUAACUGUGAGAAACUACUGUUAUACUGAUGUUUCUUGCCUGUCAUUACUGAUGCGUCAGCAUAGGGCCUUUUUCUUACUGUUAUACUGAUGUUUCUUGCCUGUCAUUCAUACUCUCAACUUCUUUCUGAUGUUUCUUACUAAUGCUCCACAUCCUGUGUAGGUACCCUGUCAAUUAUGCAUUUUAUAAGGGAUACUGCAUUCCCUAAAAAGGAUGGGUAGCUUUUUUGAGAGUAGUUUGGUUGAAACUACCGAGUACUGUCAAAGAUUAUGCAAGACCCUAAAAAGGAUGGGUUGCAUGCGUUGUUACAGGAGAAUGAAGCGACGUCUGCAUCAGUUUGUGAACCAAGCAAGAGAUGGGCGGAGAUCAAGUGUAAGUAUGAUGCCUGAGCAAUACAUUUCAUCUUCACCAAUUCCUUUUCUGAUUGCUUCUUCAGGGACAUAUGUUACAACUACAUCAGGGACAUAUUUCUGCUUUCUGCUGGUAGUGGACUACAUCAGGGAUAUCCUGAACUACAGUACCUUCUUCAGGUAACAAUUCACGGACGACGACGAGCUCGAUCAGGAGAGGACAGUGAGCAUGUUCAGGGGAGGACGACGAUCUUGUCCAGGGAGCAGAGGAGCUCGCCCUCGCAGCAGCCGACGGCGCAGUGGCGCAGGGAAGAGGUCUAGCUGUUGAGGACAACGACGAGCUGGGCAGCAGGGCCACGAGUAGGCUAGCGGCGAGCCUGAGGAGCAGCAGUGCAGCGGAGGAGCAACAGCGCAACGCAGGACCAGCAACGCAGCGCCGCAGGGAGAUCGUGGCCACCACAAGCGCCACAGGGAGAUCGUGAGCAACAGCAGAACCUCUCGGCGAGACAGAGCUCCACCUGGAGCGGAAGAGGAUGAAGAGGAGGCGGAGCUCCUCCUAUGCGCCCCACCGACGGAGCUCCUGGUGGAGCGGAGGAGAGAAGGAGGAAGCGGAGGCGGAGCUCCUCCUGUGCGCCCCACCGGCGGAGCUCCUGGUCGUGCGGAGGAGAGGAGGAGGAAGUGGAGCUCCUAGUCGAGCGGAGGGAGCUGCGGAUGGCGAGAGGUGACUACGGAGGGCGGAGGACGGCCGAGGCGUACGGCGGCGGACGGCCGGGGAUGGCCAGGGAUGGCCUCGUCGUCUUCGGAACAGACGCGAUUUUGAUUUGAACGUGGAAGGACUUGAUUGGAGAAGAAUUGUAAUUUUAAGGGGGGGUUUUGUAAAAUUACAUUUAUACAGCGGGUCCGACACUUUCCAUGGGACGGAGGGAGUAUAUACUUUGAGAUCUAUGCAUGAGGAUUCGUACCA